CUGUCUGAUGCCGCAUCACCUGAUCGCUGAUGGCUCAACGAUAUCCGGCAGACAACUAAAUAUCACAGCUGCCUUUUGAGCGGGUUAGCUGCAAUCCGAAACGGAGAAUUCCGUCAGGACUGCGGUUAGGUUUUUACACCCUUUUGUGGCAGCACC
rnacentral:ncRNA from 1 species